rnacentral:rRNA from 1 species
GUGGAUUAGAUACCCUAGUAGUCCUAGCCGUAAACGGUGAUCACUAGGUGUUGGAGGCAUCGACCCCUCCAGUGCCGCAGCUAACGCAUUAAGUGAUCCGCCUGGGGAGUACGGCCGCAAGGUUGAAACUCAAAGGAAUUGACGGGGGCCCGCACAAGCGGUGGAGCAUGUGGUUUAAUUCGACGCAACGCGAAGAACCUUACCCAGGCUUGACAUGCAUUGGAUAGGUGUGGAAACACACCCUCCCUUCGGGGCCGAUGCACAGGUGCUGCAUGGUCGUCGACAGCU